GCCUGGAUGGUGGAACUGGUAGACACGACAGACUUAAAAUCUGUUGACCUUACGGUCGUGCGGGUUCAAGUCCCGCUCCGGGUACCA
rnacentral:tRNA from 1 species